UCGAGCGAAGCGUAUUAGCGGAAGUUUUCGGAUGGAAGCGGAUAUGACUUAGCGGCGGACGGGUGAGUAACGCGUGGAUAACCUGCCUCAUACAGGGGGAUAACAGUUAGAAAUGACUGCUAAUACCGCAUAAGCGCACAGGACCGCAUGGUCCGGUGUGAAAAACUCCGGUGGUAUGGGAUGGAUCCGCGUCUGAUUAGCUGGUUGGUGAGGUAACGGCCCACCAAGGCGACGAUCAGUAGCCGACCUGAGAGGGUGGCCGGCCACAUUGGGACUGAGACACGGCCCAAACUCCUACGGGAGGCAGCAGUGGGGAAUAUUGCACAAUGGGGGAAACCCUGAUGCAGCAACGCCGCGUGAGUGAAGAAGUAUUUCGGUAUGUAAAGCUCUAUCAGCAGGGAAGAAGAAAGACGGUACCUGACUAAGAAGCCCCGGCUAACUACGUGCCAGCAGCCGCGGUAAUACGUAGGGGGCAAGCGUUAUCCGGAUUUACUGGGUGUAAAGGGAGCGUAGACGGCUGUGCAAGUCUGAAGUGAAAGCCCGUGGCUCAACCGCGGAACUGCUUUGGAAACUGUAUAGCUUGAGUACUGGAGAGCCAGGCAGAAUUCCUAGUGUAGCGGUGAAAUGCGU
rnacentral:rRNA from 1 species